UACGGGGGGUGCAAGCGUUGUUCGGAUUUACUGGGCGUAAAGGGCGCGCAGGCGGCGCAUUUUGUCAGGCGUGAAAGCCCCGGGCUUAACCUGGGAACUGCGUUUGAUACGGAUGGGCUAGAGUUCGGGAGAGGAGAGUGGAAUUCCCAGUGUAGAGGUGAAAUUCGUAGAUAUUGGGAAGAACACCGGUGGCGAAGGCGGCUCUCUGGACCGAGACUGACGCUGAGGCGCGAAAGCGUGGGGAGCAAACCGG
rnacentral:rRNA from 1 species